AAGACUAUACUUUCAGGGAUCAUUUCUAUAGUAUUUAACUAGGAAAUGUGUUUCGAAAGUGAUGUGUCUCCUAAACCACGAUGAAGAGUAUUGAUACUUCUUUCUGAGCGUGAAUCGGAUACAAAGUAAUGAUUCAUUUCAUAUGCUUUGUAUCAUUGAUGAACGUUCCAUGUCUCUAAUGGGGAUGUGGAGGAAAGGGGUAUGAGCAGAGUGGU